rnacentral:rRNA from 1 species
GGCUGAUUGUCCAGGCAAAUCCGGAUAAUCAAGGCUGAGGUGUGAUGACGAGGCACUACGGUGCUGAAGUAACAAAUGCCCUGCUUCCAGGAAAAGCCUCUAAGCAUCAGGUAACAUUAAAUCGUACCCCAAACCGACACAGGUGGUCAGGUAGAGAAUACCAAGGCGCUUGAGAGAACUCGGGUGAAGGAACUAGGCAAAAUGGUGCCGUAACGUCGGGAGAAGGCACGCUGGUGUGUAGGUGA